GAUGAACGCUAACGGGAGGCCCAACACAUGCAAGCCGAGCGGUAUUGUUUCUUCGGAAAUGAGAGAGCGGCGUACGGGUGCGUAACACGUGUGCAACCUGCCUUUAUCUGGGGGAUAGCCUUUCGAAAGGAAGAUUAAUACCCCAUAAUAUAUUUAACGGCAUCGUUUAAUAUUGAAAGCUCCGGCGGAUAGAGAUGGGCACGCGCAAGAUUAGCUAGUUGGUGAGGUAACGGCUCACCAAGGCGAUGAUCUUUAGGGGGCCUGAGAGGGUGAUCCCCCACACUGGUACUGAGACACGGACCAGACUCCUACGGGAGGCAGCAGUGAGGAAUAUUGGUCAAUGGGUGCAAGCCUGAACCAGCCAUCCCGCGUGAAGGACGACUGCCCUAUGGGUUGUAAACUUCUUUUGUAUAGGGAUAAACCUACCCUCGAGAGGGUAGCUGAAGGUACUAUACGAAUAAGCACCGGCUAACUCCGUGCCAGCCGCCGCCGUAACAC
rnacentral:rRNA from 1 species